rnacentral:lncRNA from 1 species
ACGGAUCAUACAGAUCCUUGCAAUAAAGGAUAUCCUCCAUUCUGGGCUUCCAGAUCGAAAAAUUUGAAGAGGUCAAUUUAAUCAUGGCUCCGACUGAUUCUUCCAUAAAAUUUAUCAAAAACAACCAAGCAAAUAACCUUAGCUCUGAUACCAGUUGUUGGGAAAAAAAUCACCUCCCAAAUACUGUUGUCUUUUAGACGGAUAAAAUAUCAGUACAUGCCAAAUAGAUUAAAUUUACAGUUCCACCAAAAUAAUAACCAUGAAAGAAUUAAAUAAGUAGAAAAUAUCCAACCACGAGACACCAAGAUUUUUAACCCUCUAAAACUAAGAGGUAAAAACCACGAGACAAUCUCCGAAAAAUUCACUAGAAUAAUAUGAGAGAGUACAAAGAUAUCUUAAUUUGAGUACAAACUCAACUUACUUUACCACAAUAACUAUGUGAUGGAACCCAAAUAAAACACUCUUUUAUUUGAACUAUAUUUCUCUCUCCAUUUUCUAAGUUUUAUAAAAGCUACUCUCUUUU